AUCCAUCAACUUCAUAAUCCGCAUCGGUGCAACUUCCUCCAUCGAUUUGAGAAAGAGAGAGGGAGAAAGAGAGAGAGAGAUCAUGCCGCCUCCACCGUGGGGACCACCGCCGGGCCCGCACGGGCCUCCGGGGCCGUUCGGGUUCCUGUGCGGCGGGUUAUGUCGCCUCGUCUCCACCUGUGCGUACCUGCUGUGUUGCUGCUGCCUCUUCGAGAGCUGCUGCGGGCCGAUAUUCGGUGGGCCCGGAGGCCCACCAGGCGGCCCACCACGCUUCUGAGCGAGCCCACCUUUUUUUACCGAGAAACGUAAAUGUCAAGACAAAAAAAAGAUAAUAAAUUUCAAGAGAGAGAGAGAGAGACUGAUGAAGACUCUAGAUCCUCGAUGUAUUCCAUUUCGUGCCGGUUUUUACAGAAUGUUAUUAUGUUACACGUGUCCAUGUUUUUUCGUA